ensembl:lncRNA
GCGAGAACGUGCACACGCGACUUCUUCGGCCGAUGGUGUUGCCGAGCAGCCGUCUUGGGAGUAGGGGGGGUCAGACAAGCGGCGUGGGUCUCAGCUUUAGCUGGUUGGAAAUCCCUGGCAAUGUGAUUUACAUUACAUCACAACAAAAUCACUCUGCCAGGAAUCCUUCCAGCUAAACCAACCGUUCGGGGGCCUCUGUGUGUGUCGGGUGGUGGGGGAGGCGAGCAGGGCGGAGGUGGAGGAUGGAGGAGAGAGCGACGGGUGGACGCGCGCACAACGACGAGAGAGCAGAUGCGUGUUGCGUUGAAAGAGGGUCACAGGUUUCUGCUGCUGGUCAGAACUUCAUGGAUUUACAAAUGUAGAUUAAUUGUUUGCUGUGAUCUGGAGCGUCAGCGCUGGGUAACCUGCGCUGAGAGAGAGGCAGCGACUCCAUCCCGGGAUGGGUCACGCCGUUGGGCGGCGUGGGCGUUCCC